rnacentral:rRNA from 1 species
ACGGAAGGCAGCAGUGGGGGAUAUUGCGCAAUGGGGGAAACCCUGACGCAGCAACGCCGCGUGAAGGAUGAAGGUCUUCGGAUUGUAAACUUCUUUUAUCAAGGACGAAAUCUGACGGUACUUGAUGAAUAAGCUCCGGCUAACUACGUGCCAGCAGCCGCGGUAAUACGUAGGGAGCGAGCGUUGUCCGGAUUUACUGGGUGUAAAGGGUGCGUAGGCGGCCAAGCAAGUCAGUUGUGAAAUCUAUGGGCUUAACCCAUAGCCUGCAAUUGAAACUGUUUGGCUUGAGUGAAGUAGAGGUAGGCGGAAUUCCCGGUGUAGCGGUGAAAUGCGUAGAGAUCGGGAGGAACACCAGUGGCGAAGGCGGCCUACUGGGCUUUAACUGACGCUGAGGCACGAAAGCAUGGGUAGCAAACAGGAUUAGAUACCCUGGUA